AUCCAACUGACGCAUCCCAAAUAGGAUGAAACGCGUGUUUUGGAU
rfam:Schistosoma haematobium scaffold58_2, whole genome shotgun sequence.